UUUAUGGAGAGUUUGAUCCUGGCUCAGGAUGAACGCUGGCGGCGUGCCUAAUACAUGCAAGUCGAGCGAACAGACGAGGAGCUUGCUCCUCUGACGU
rnacentral:rRNA from 1 species